rnacentral:rRNA from 1 species
UCCAAGUCGAGCGGGUAGCACAGAGAGCUUGCUCUCGGGUGACGAGCGGCGGACGGGUGAGUAAUGUCUGGGAAACUGCCUGAUGGAGGGGGAUAACUACUGGAAACGGUAGCUAAUACCGCAUAACGUCGCAAGACCAAAGUGGGGGACCUUCGGGCCUCAUGCCAUCAGAUGUGCCCAGAUGGGAUUAGCUAGUAGGUGGGGUAACGGCUCACCUAGGCGACGAUCCCUAGCUGGUCUGAGAGGAUGACCAGCCACACUGGAACUGAGACACGGUCCAGACUCCUACGGGAGGCAGCAGUGGGGAAUAUUGCACAAUGGGCGCAAGCCUGAUGCAGCCAUGCCGCGUGUGUGAAGAAGGCCUUCGGGUUGUAAAGCACUUUCAGCGGGGAGGAAGGCGUUAAGGUUAAUAACCUUGGCGAUUGACGUUACCCGCAGAAGAAGCACCGGCUAACUCCGUGCCAGCAGCCGCGGUAAUACGGAGGGUGCAAGCGUUAAUCGGAAUUACUGGGCGUAAAGCGCACGCAGGCGGUCUGUCAAGUCGGAUGUGAAAUCCCCGGGCUCAACCUGGGAACUGCAUUCGAAACUGGCAGGCUAGAGUCUUGUAGAGGCGGGUAGAAUUGCAGGUGUAGCGGUGAAAUGCGUAGAGAUCUGGAGGAAUACCGGUGGCGAAGGCGGCCCCCUGGACAAAGACUGACGCUCAGGUGCGAAAGCGUGGGGAGCAAACAGGAUUAGAUACCCUGGUAGUCCACGCCGUAAACGAUGUCGAUUUGGAGGUUGUGCCCUUGAGGCGUGGCUUCCGGAGCUAACGCGUUAAAUCGACCGCCUGGGGAGUACGGCCGCAAGGUUAAAACUCAAAUGAAUUGACGGGGGCCCGCACAAGCGGUGGAGCAUGUGGUUUAAUUCGAUGCAACGCGAAGAACCUUACCUGGUCUUGACAUCCACAGAACUUUCCAGAGAUGGAUUGGUGCCUUCGGGAACUGUGAGACAGGUGCUGCAUGGCUGUCGUCAGCUCGUGUUGUGAAAUGUUGGGUUAAGUCCCGCAACGAGCGCAACCCUUAUCCUUUGUUGCCAGCGGUUCGGCCGGGAACUCAAAGGAGACUGCCAGUGAUAAACUGGAGGAAGGUGGGGAUGACGUCAAGUCAUCAUGGCCCUUACGACCAGGGCUACACACGUGCUACAAUGGCAUAUACAAAGAGAAGCGACCUCGCGAGAGCAAGCGGACCUCAUAAAGUAUGUCGUAGUCCGGAUUGGAGUCUGCAACUCGACUCCAUGAAGUCGGAAUCGCUAGUAAUCGUAGAUCAGAAUGCUACGGUGAAUACGUUCCCGGGCCUUGUACACACCGCCCGUCACACCAUGGGAGUGGGUUGCAAAAGAAGUAGGUAGCUUAACCUUUG